rnacentral:lncRNA from 1 species
UUUAAAUAAAAUCAGUGAUUAAUGCAAUAAGUCAAGAACCUUGUCAUUGGAUGUCUUAUAUAUAUAACCUAAGUGGAUAUUCUUAUAUAUAUCUUAUGAGUUUUGGAAAACUGUUGUUUAUUAGCCUCAAGGUGGUUACAAGUGAAUCAGAUGUGGUGCAAUGCAAAUAUCACAUUGGAAUAAAAUAAAUUAGGAUAUGACUUUAAUUUUAUGCUUUAGUGUUCAUGGUGAAGUUUCAACUCUUACUUUGUGAGUUGGAUGAAAUAAAAAGCUUGAAAGAUUAUUUUACUGGUACAAGC